GAUGAACGCUAGCUGCAGGCUUAACACAUGCAAGUCGAGGGGUAUAGUUCUUCGGAGCUAGAGACCGGCGCACGGGUGCGUAACGCGUAUGCAAUCUACCUUUUGCAGAGGGAUAGCCCAGAGAAAUUUGGAUUAAUACCUCAUGGUAUGUGAGAAUGGCAUCAUUUUCACAUUAAAGUCACAACGGCAACAGAUGCGCAUGCGUCCCAUUAGCUAGUUGGUAAGGUACCGGCUUACCAAGGCAACGAUGGGUAGGGGUCCUGAGAGGGAGAAGCCCAAACCUGGUAAUGAGAUCCGGACCAGGAGCCUAAAGGGUGAAGCAGUGAGUGAUAUAGUACACCGGGCGCAACCCUGUCCCAGCCAUGCCGCGUGCAGGAUGACCGCCCCAGGCAUUGUCAACCGUUAUAGUACAAAAAGAAAAACUGGUUCGUGAACCAGCUUGACGGUACUGUAAGAAUAAGGAUCGGCUAACUCCGUGCAAGCAGCCGCCGUAAGAC
rnacentral:rRNA from 1 species